rnacentral:rRNA from 1 species
AAUAACCUGCCGGGUCUAUAAUGCAGUCGAGCGACGGACGAGAAGCUUGCUUCUCUGAUGUUAGCGGCGGACGGGUGAGUAACACGUGGAUAACCUACCUAUAAGACUGGGAUAACUUCGGGAAACCGGAGCUAAUACCGGAUAAUAUUUUGAACCGCAUGGUUCAAAAGUGAAAGACGGUCUUGCUGUCACUUAUAGAUGGAUCCGCGCUGCAUUAGCUAGUUGGUAAGGUAACGGCUUACCAAGGCAACGAUGCAUAGCCGACCUGAGAGGGUGAUCGGCCACACUGGAACUGACACACGGUCCAGACUCCUACGGGAGGCAGCAGUAGGGAAUCUUCCGCAAUGGGCGAAAGCCUGACCGAGCAACUCCGCGUGAGUGACGUUGGUCUUCUGAU